rnacentral:rRNA from 1 species
UACGUAGGGUCCGAGCGUUGUCCGGAAUUAUUGGGCGUAAAGGGCUCGUAGGCGGUCCGUCACGUCGGGAGUGAAAACUCAGGGCUCAACCCUGAGCGUGCUUCCGAUACGGGCGGACUAGAGGUAUGCAGGGGAGAACGGAAUUCCUGGUGUAGCGGUGGAAUGCGCAGAUAUUAGGAGGAACACCGGUGGCGAAGGCGGUUCUCUGGGCAUUACCUGACGCUGAGGAGCGAAAGCGUGGGGAGCAAACAGG